UACGUAGGUGGCAAGCGUUGUCCGGAAUUACUGGGCGUAAAGCGUGCGCAGGCGGUUAUGUAAGACAGUUGUGAAAUCCCCGGGCUCAACCUGGGAACUGCAUCUGUGACUGCAUAGCUAGAAUACGGUAGAGGGGGAUGGAAUUCCGCGUGUAGCAGUGAAAUGCGUAGAUAUGCGGAGGAACACCGGUGGCGAAGGCGGCAUCCUGGACCAACACUGACACUGAGGAGCGAAAGCCAGGGGAGCAAACGGG
rnacentral:rRNA from 1 species